rnacentral:lncRNA from 1 species
UGUUGAUUUAUUGUGUCUAAAUUCAGGAGACCAAUGGAAGAAAGUUCUUCUUUAAGCUGCUCUACGUCAAGGCUUUUCAAUGCCAAAUAAUGAAUUAGGUUUGUCGCAUUGACCAAGUAAUUUCUGUCAUUCAUGGAAUCUCAAGUUAGUUGCAGGAAUCUAUGAUCAGGCAGGGAAAAUCGCAGUAGAGUUGCUGGUGGAAAAGCUGAUAAAGAGCAGGUAUUAAGUGUAACCAAUCUCAAUCACUUUUAUGCAUAAUGAUUCAGAGGCUUUUCAUUGCCAAAUAAUGAAUUAGGUUUGUCGCACUGACCAAGUAAUUUCUGCCAUUCAUGGAAUCUCAAGUUAGUUGCAGGAAUAUAUGAUCAGGCAGGGAAAAUCGCAGUAGAGUUGCUGGUGGAAAAGCUGAUAAAGAGAAGGUAUUCAGUGUAACCACUCUCAAUCACUUUUAUGCGUAAUGAUUCAAGUUUAUUUUAGAACACUCAAAAUACAGCAAAUGAAAAUACUUAAGUAAACCAAAAAACUGCAUCAAUAAAAAGGAAGAACACAUAAUG